rnacentral:lncRNA from 1 species
CCAUUGUAGCAUGGCCCACCUGGAUGCCCCUGGUAACAAUCCAUACAACACGCGUUUACUUGGACAGGCGGUGGGUACCCUGGCACAACAGGACCCGGCUGCACUGGAGGAGGAGAAGGCUUCACUGGCUCAGCCGGUGGCGGUGCAGGUUUUGGCGGUUUCACUGGCUCCGCUGGUGGCGGUGCAGGUUUAGGAUUUUCAGGUUCCUUGGGUUUAUCUGCCGGUUUAGGUUUUUCAGGCUCUUUGGGUUUCUCUGCCGGUUUAGGUUUUUCAGGCUCUUUGGGUUUCUCAGUCGUCGGUUUAGGUUUUUCGGGCACUUUGGGUUUCUCUGCCGGUUUAGGUUUUUCGGGCUCUUUGGGUUUCUCGGCCGGUGGUGGCUUGGGCUUCUCUGGCUCUUUGAUCUCAAUGCUUUUUAUGGCACCUCCACCUUUGCAGCAAAUCUUGUCCCUUAUCUUUUCUGGACUACAGCAUACCACUUUGAUCACCACUUGGUUUUGCUUCUCGUCGUAUAUCUGGUCUCGUAUUUCUCUUGUUCACAAACACACAUUUUAUUUACUUAGUUUACGUUUUAUCCAAAAUUAAUCUUAGUUUCCCAAAAAGAAAGAACUUUAACUCGGUUGCUCAUCUAGUAAUUAUAGACAACUCAAGGAGAAGAGAGACUCACGGGGGAAUUUACAGAGAACUUUUUUGACCUUCUUAUAGCAUUUGUGACACCCAAGAUCCACCUUCAACACCAUAAUCGUAACCUGGACUACCCAUUUUUAAUAUUAAUGAAAAAAAUUUGUAUAUAUAUUAACCAAAGAUUGACAAAAAAAAUUCAUAUAAUAUACAGAUGAUUGUUGUGCAGAAGUGUAGACAAAAAGAAGUGGAAUAUAGUGCUGCUGCAGAAUAGGGUUCUGACUGACAAGGAAGAAUCAUGGUGAAAUAGUAUGUGGCAAAAUGAAGAACAUAGAGAGAGAGCGCGCGAGAGCCAAAAACAAUAAAUUAAAUAGCAGAGCAGAGGACUUGGGAUUCUUAUCAGGAUACAAAAAAAUAGGAACCACAAAAAACAAAUAAGAGCUUAAAGUCUUUUAGUUUUCGCCAUGCAAAUCAUCAUUGGGUAAGAAGAAGAAAAUGAGCAAAGAACACAAACUUUACCAAAUAUUACGUACCUUUUCCUUUUCCCCCAUUGCAGUGAGUAGCGGAUGCUUUCAGACUCAGAUCUGAACCAGAACCUCUCAACUAAAAUGACUGAAUGGGACUGCCCUCACUGAACCAACUUUUAUAUCUAUACAUAGAUAUAUAAUUCGGUGGAACAAACUACAAAGCAAAGGGAGGAGAAGAAGAGAGG